rnacentral:rRNA from 1 species
GAUGAACGCUGGCGGCGUGCCUAAUACAUGCAAGUCGAGCGAACAGACGAGGAGCUUGCUCCUCUGACGUUAGCGGCGGACGGGUGAGUAACACGUGGAUAACCUACCUAUAAGACUGGGAUAACUUCGGGAAACCGGAGCUAAUACCGGAUAAUAUAUUGAACCGCAUGGUUCAAUAGUGAAAGGCGGUUUUGCUGUCACUUAUAGAUGGAUCCGCGCCGCAUUAGCUAGUUGGUAAGGUAACGGCUUACCAAGGCAACGAUGCGUAGCCGACCUGAGAGGGUGAUCGGCCACACUGGAACUGAGACACGGUCCAGACUCCUACGGGAGGCAGCAGUAGGGAAUCUUCCGCAAUGGGCGCAAGCUUGACGGAGCAACGCCGCGUGAGUGAUGAAGGUCUUCGGAUCGUAAAACUCUGUUAUUAGGGAAGAACAAAUGUGUAAGUAACUAUGCACGUCUUGACGGUACCUAAUCAGAAAGCCACGGCUAACUACGUG